GACCUCAGCGCGGCCGCCGCUGCGCGCCUAAAGGAGGCUGUCUGCGGAGCUAUGGUGCGGUUCUCUUCCCGCGCCGCCCACCAAGGGUCGCUCCUCAUCUUCUUAUUCACUCACUUGCUACUUCGUUUAGUCCUUCAUUAAUUCCUGCAGUAAGCAUGUAUGGGCUUCUACUGUGGACCUGGCAUUAUGCCACGCCUUCGAUGUACAUUGGAGAACCAGAGAGCCAAGGCAUUAUAUUUCCCAACUCUCCUGCAGUUAGCUGGGGGCCACAUGGCUGAGUUCCGGCCAUUGGAAUGUUGCUGGAACUGAUGUAUACCACUUCCAGGAUUGGUCUAUAACACCUUCCUUGAAUCUUCCCUUCUCUGUCUUUCCUGGUCUUCUGGAAGUUCUUAGACAACGGUGGAACCACUAGAUAGAUAACAGGUUCCCGAUUCCCUGAACGAGUGUGAUAGAGUGUCCUCACCAACCCACAUUGGAAUAUGACAUGGGUAAGAAAUAAUUCUUAGUUGUGGUAAACUGCUGAGAUUUGGGAAGAUUUUUUUUUGUAACAUUAUGGUAAAUUGUUGAAUUCAUCAAAGGUAUGGCCUUUGAUGAAUCACACAUUCCUCUGUUCACACCCUUGUAUUCUUCCUUCCCACAUGGACUCUGUCUUUGGCUAUGUAACUUGCUUUGGCCAUUGGGACAUCAGCAAAUACGAGAUAAGCAGGGGCUUGAAAGGUGUUUGUGCAUUAAGGCUUAGCCUGUUUUGCUGCUGAGAAUUCUUCUUCCACAAAGUAAAGAAGCUUAGGCUAGCCCACUGACAACUAUGGCCCAAUCAUCCACCAGCACCAAGGGCAAGACGUGAAAAAGGCCAUAAUGGAAAGUCUAGUCUUAGAAAAGCUGCUGGAUGACCACAACUCUGUAAGCAACCCAAAGCAAGAUUAGCAAAACCACCUAGCUAAACAUAGUCCAAACUGUUGACCCACAGAACACAUAAACAAAUAAAAUGAAUAUUGCUGUAAGCCACUAAGUUUUAGGUUGGGUUUCUUACACAGCAGUAGAUAACUGAUACAAAGAGUUAGCUUAUUCUGACUAAUAUAUUUGUACAAUGAUAAGGCUGAUCUUGGGCAUAAGUGACUAGGCUGAAAGAACUAGCUUCACCCGUUCCAGUUUGUACCCAGUUGCCUAAGAACUGGGGUCAUCAACAUCUUGAUAUGCCUGUAAACAACUUGUGGCAUACGAGCAUGCCACAGCACAGUGGUCUGGAGACUGCUCUCUUCUCAUCUAUAAAAUUGACCUGGUAGAGUAAUAAAGUCUUAAAAUAUAACCAA